GGCUUGACUUGGCUUGACUUGGCUUGACUUGGCUUGGUGUGGUGGUGCCGACUGAGGGCGGGUCCUCGCAGCUUUUGAUGCUUGGGAAAUUUGAUCACCGCAUUCCGGGUAACACUCCAUGUGGCUGCUCACCCUAACCCGACUUUCCUAGAAUUUCUGUUAUUGCGGGUCCGUGGCGACUUUUCCUCUGCGCCGACGAGAAGGGACUUGAAUUUUUUCCAUGGUUUACACUGGUAAACGGUGGCGAAGGAUGUAAUGGGGGAAGCUGGCAUCCCGAGUAGAGGUACACUGCGUGGGAAUUGGUGCUGUAAAUGAGAAAUGCUGUUGAAUUAAUUGUGUUGAAGGAUUCUUCAGGCGGUUUGAAACUUGAUCGAGGUGAGGAGGACUGAUGGAUGGAUGCGACUGGAGUCCGUUUUAUUGUGACGAAGGAAUGAUGAAUGGAAUGUUCUAGACAAAGCAGAGAUGAACACCUACGGGACAAAAAAGCCGUUGUGAUUUGCUAUUGGCAAGACCUGCAUUGCCUAACGAGGCAGACAUGUACCAUACACUCUAUGUCAAGAAAAUUCAUGAAUGUAUUUCCUCGGGAAAGAGACGGGCCGAGGGAGGGAGGGUGGAGGUGAUGAGGAAACGAGGAAGGAGGGAGACUGUUCCAGACAGUUGAGGAGCAGGUGGGAUGGUGGAACGGGUACAGCAGAAAGAACCACGCGGACGUAGCAAUUGUAUGGGGCAACGAUUUCAGAUGGUGGACAUGAUAUUUUCCGAAAGGGCACAUUACUGCUUCACCUCCUUCGCAUAGUUCAAUCACUGUUUGAUCUUGUGAAAUACGUUGACUUAGUAACUUAGGAGUCCCUGCAGGAUUGUUUGUGUGAUGGGAGCAAUUUUCAUAUUUUUGUAUAGAUCUUUUUUUUUUUGGGUUUUCUCCGUGAAAUUUAGCUUCUAAUCCUCAACGUCGAAUCGAUAUCUUGCAUUUGUAUGUAGAGCCGGCGUAGUGUCCUCAUGGAAACCUUGUAGAUAAGUUUUCAAGUCACACGGUGUGCAUAGAGAAUCGGUGUAUCAUCUUCAGAAGGUUAGUGCAGAGUGCUCUAGCUUGAUUCAAAUUUUGUCAUCUGGAAUUUUAUCUCAUGGUUUUCCCAGAGAUUGUCUUUGGAGUAUAACUUGAUGGCUGCAUCCAUGUUCUUCUUUACACUGGAAGGACAAUGAACCGCCAGUGCCCACUCAAUAGAAUGGAAGGUUUUCUGCACA